rnacentral:rRNA from 1 species
GAUGAACGCUGGCGGCGUGCUUAACACAUGCAAGUUGAACGAAGCAAAUUAUUACGAUCCCUUUGGGGUGACGAUUUGUUGAAUGAGUGGCGGACGGGUGAGUAACGCGUGGGUAACCUUCCUUGUACAGGGGGACAACAGUUGGAAACGACUGGUAAUUCCGCAUAAGCGCACAGGUUUGCAUGAAGCAGUGUGAAAAGUUUUUUCGGUACAAGAUGGACCCGCGUCUGAUUAGCUAGUUGGUGAGGUAACGGCCCACCAAGGCGACGAUCAGUAGCCGACCUGAGAGGGUGACCGGCCACAUUGGGACUGAGACACGGCCCAAACUCCUACGGGAGGCAGCAGUGGGGAAUAUUGCACAAUGGGCGAAAGCCUGAUGCAGCGACGCCGCGUGAGCGAAGAAGUAUUUCGGUAUGUAAAGCUCUAUCAGCAGGGAAGAUAA